GACGUAGGGCGCGAGCGUUGUCCGGAUUUAUUGGGCGUAAAGAGCUCGUAGGCGGCUUGUCGCGUCGACCGUGAAAACUUGUGGCUCAACCACAAGCUGGCGGUCGAUACGGGCAGGCUGGAGUUCGGUAGGGGAGACUGGAGUUCCUGGUGUAGCGGUGAAAUGCGCAGAUAUCGGGAGGAACACCAGUGGCGAAGGCGACUACCUGGCCUGUUCUUGACGCUGAGGCGCGAAAGCUAGGGGAGCAAACGGG
rnacentral:rRNA from 1 species